rnacentral:rRNA from 1 species
GCGCGAAAACUUUACAAUGCUGGCAACAGCGAUAAGGGAACCUCGAGUGCCAGGUUACAAAUCUGGCUGUCGAGAUGCCUAAAAAGCAUUUCAUAGCAAGGGCCGGGCAAGACCGGUGCCAGCCGCCGCGGUAACACCGGCGGCUCGAGUGGUAACCGUUAUUAUUGGGUCUAAAGGGUCUGUAGCCGGCCGGAUAAGUCUCUUGAGAAAUCUGGCAGCUUAACUGUCAGGCUUUCAGGAGAUACUGUCUGGCUCGAGGCCGGGAGAGGUGAGAGGUACUUCGAGGGGUAGGGUGAAAUCUUGUAAUCCUUGAAGGACCACCAGUGGCGAAGGCGUCUCACCAGAACGGACCUGACGGCAAGGGACGAAAGCUAGGGGCACGAACCGGAUUACGGUAACG